GGAGGCUCUCUCUGCUAACUGCCGUGGGGAGUUACCUGAGUCCUAGUGCUGCCUGUUUGACUACCUAAGUACAGUACAACUUCAGGAGCUUCUCAGAUCCAUCAGAUAAUGAGUGAAAUGCAUUGUAACCUGGAGCAUCACAAGCCUGGACAGUCUUGCAAACUUUAGUUCUAUAAUUUCUUCUCUCAGGCCAGGGUGAGUUCUAAACUUUGUCGGACUUGGCACAAAUAAUUACUGUCAAACCAAGAGAAAAUAUGGAAAAUUGCAGGCUGAAAAAAUUCUUUCUGUUCAGAAUUCCUCAUGUCUUCAUUUAGCCAGUGGUUCCAUCGUAUAUCAUGAAGUCUCUGGAUCUCUCUAAAAUUGCAAAGACAUCAUGUUCAGGUGGCAUGUAUUCAACAUUUUCUGAUGCCAGCAUUUCUUUGGAGUGAGUCAAGUUGGACACAUCAGAGCUGAGACACCCAAGAUCAGUAGUCUCUUCAUAAAGGAGGGAUUGGAAUAAUGGUAUGCCUAAGGCAUUCAAGCCAGGAGCUACAGGUAACAACCAGAGACACUCUGCUGUCCUUGUCCUGGGAUUGGUAUUGUAGCAGCACAGAGUGGAGUUGGAGCUGGCUUUGUUGAUUUGAGUGGUUACCGUUUUGCGGUUGUAUUGUAAUUGCACAAAUCCCUACUCUAGAUUCUUGAGGUGUGCUGGCCACAUACAUUCUCAGUAUAGCACAAGUGGACACAGGAAUCCUUUGCAUCAAGGACUUUGGCCAAGAGUAGGCAGAUGACUGAUCAAGGAAUAAUCUGGUUCAUUUUGAAGACAUUUAGUUGAAGAAUAUUGAAGGAAGAAAGUUGUCCCUUUCAAGGAGUUUUUUGUAAUCAUACUUUCUCAUCCAGUUUGUCCUGGGACUCACAAUUCAAUUACAGCUUAGUUCUAUGGACUAUGUCCUCAGAGACUUUGAACUGAGUUCAAGUAAAGGGCAUUUGAACACUGUUUAAAACUUUGGAAUACCUAGUAUUAACUGUCAAUAAAUAUUUAUGAUUUAGUUUAACAAUGUUGGUAUUGUGAAAGCCAUUUUCUUCUCAUUUUGGGAAACUGGGGCUACUUAUAUGCUUGAAGUGAUUUUCUGAAUGCUUUGUAUAAUUUUAAAUUAAAUAUAGUACAAAAUUUUGCAUGCACCAAUAAUUUGUUUGAGGUUUUAAGAGUAAAGGGGAAAGAAAAGUUCCUUUUUUAACUGAAACUAAAAUGGUGAAAUACAGAUUUGUUUUUAAAUGUUGAUUAUUCCAUCAUGUUGAAAAGUUGGGUUAAAACACUUAUUUCCAGAAUAUGUAGUAUAACAAAUAUUGUUAUACUAACAACAAAUAUUGUUGUUUAAAACAGUAAUUAAUCAUUUUAAUUUUCAAGACUUUCCACAUUUUAAAUGCUGUUGCUUUGUAACAAGUAUUACUGUAUGAAACCUAUAAAACUCUAUACAUUUGGAUAUAUUUAUUUUUAUGGUUUAUAUGAUUAACUUUAUAAGGCCUUUAUUGUUCUGGUACAGCUAGAUAGUUGUAGAUUGUGCUGCAGAAGACACAUUUUUCCUGUACAAAUAAAGAAGAAUUUAACUUGAAAAAAAUGUGCAUUCCUAUGCAAACAAAAUAAUAAAAUUUAA